rnacentral:lncRNA from 1 species
AAGGAUUUCAUAGUUCCGGUCAGAACAAUGUAAAUAACAAAUUAAUGUUUUUUUUAAUAAAGUAGCAAUAAUGAUUUAUCUGAAGUUAAUUUAUAAAUAACUUUGGAGUUUUUACUCAUAAUUUUUAACCAAAUUUGAAAUCUUCAAAGGCUAAUAAAAAUAGUUAAUAUUUGUUGAAUGCUUCAUAUGUAUUUUCUCAUUUAAUCUUCACAGCACCCUCAUGAGCUCGGUGUGACCAUCCCGUUUUUACUGAUGGUGGGAUUGAGUGAGGCGGAGCGAGGUUAGAGCGACUCGCGGCCCUGGGAAGGCCGAAGCCCCCUGACCGAGUGUGUCGCUUGCUGGUCCUGGCCUUGGAGACUCAGGCGUGCUGGGUUCCAUGCGGUGGCCUGCUCAGUGCAUCCGGCCCGGAGAGUUGGCUGGAAGCAGCGUGUGAUCUGGUUUGACAAGAAAAACAGGCACGAAGAAGCUACAUCGAAGGAUCCCGACCAGGAGAAGCGUCAGAGCAGAGGUUCUGCCACAUUUGGUGAUACCUGUGCGAGCUGGGAGCCCAAGGCUGCGACAUGGUCCUGGGGUCCUGCUGCACCUGCCGCGAGUGUGAACAGAUGGAUGGCAGGAUGGGAGGCAGAGGACGCGGCUGUGGGCUGGCUGCCCAGAGAGCAUGUGUACAGAAGGAGAUCUUCCACAGAAGGAGCCUGGGGACAGGCCGUUCUCUCCACGCAGUGAGGACGGGAGGAGCACAGCCCCAUGCUAGCGAUGCUGAGUCUGCCAGCACCUUCAGUUGUGUCAAUGCGGCACGGAACGAGAGAAGAAAAUGCAGGACAUCAGGGCCUUGCCUCCCGCUGGUAUGUGACCCCCCAAAAUUUGUCUGGAGCCACAGAUCUGCUGCCCCCAUCGUGCUUCCUGUCUCAGUGGAUGGUACCACUGCCGCCUACUGCCUGAGCUGGCCUCUGGGGCCAUCCACUGUUAUGUGGCUGAUUCACCUCACACCUCUUCCUACUUACCCACUAGAGCCACCAUGA